GAGUUUGAUCAUGGCUCAGAGUGAACGCUGGCGGCAGGCCUAACACAUGCAAGUCGAACGGUCAGCACAGCAGUAGCAAUACUGUGGUGCGAGUGGCGGACGGUGAGGAAUACAUCGGAAUCUACCUUGUCGUGGGGAUAACGUAGGGAAACUUACGCUAAUACCGCAUAACGACCUACGGGUGAAAGCGGCGGACCGCAAGGCGUCGCGCGAUUGGAUGAGCCGAUGUCCGAUUAGCUAGUUGGC
rnacentral:rRNA from 1 species